UGGGGAAUAUUGCACAAUGGGCGCGAGCCUGAUGCAGCCAUGCCGCGUGUAUGAAGAAGGCCUUCGGGUUGUAAAGUACUUUCAGCGGGGAGGAAGGCGAUGUGGUUAAUAACCGCGUCGAUUGACGUUACCCGCAGAAGAAGCACCGGCUAACUCCGUGCCAGCAGCCGCGGUAAUACGGAGGGUGCAAGCGUUAAUCGGAAUUACUGGGCGUAAAGCGCACGCAGGCGGUCUGUCAAGUCGGAUGUGAAAUCCCCGGGCUCAACCUGGGAACUGCAUCCGAAACUGGCAGGCUUGAGUCUCGUAGAGGGGGGUAGAAUUCCAGGUGUAGCGGUGAAAUGCGUAGAGAUCUGGAGGAAUACCGGUGGCGAAGGCGGCCCCCUGGACGAAGACUGACGCUCAGGUGCGAAAGCGUGGGGAGCAAACA
rnacentral:rRNA from 1 species